rnacentral:rRNA from 1 species
AGAACGAACGCUGGCGGCGUGCUUAACACAUGCAAGUCGAGUGCGCGUACCGUAGCAAUACGGUAUGGCGCACGGCGCACGGGUGCGUAACACGUGGGCAAUCUGCCCUUCGAUGGGGAAUAUCUUCGGGAAACCGAAGCGAAUUCCGCAUAACAUUCCUUGGACUUCGGUUCGAGGAUUCAAAGCCGUAAGGCGUCGAAGGAGGAGCCCGCGCACGAUUAGCUAGUUGGUAGGGUAACGGCCUACCAAGGCUUUGAUCGUUA